rnacentral:rRNA from 1 species
AACGAACGCUGGCGGCAGGCUUAACACAUGCAAGUCGAACGCGUGUAGCAAUACACGAGUGGCGCACGGGUGAGUAACGCGUGGAUAUCUGCCUUUUGGUUCGGAAUAACUCCGGGAAACUGGAGCUAAUACCGGAUGGUUCCUUCGGGAUAAAGAUUUAUCGCCAAAAGACGAGUCCGCGUACGAUUAGCUAGUUGGUGAGGGAAUGGCUCACCAAGGCGACGAUCGUUAGCUGGUCUGAGAGGACGAUCAGCCACACUGGGAAUGAGACACGGCCCAGACUCCGACGGGAGGCAGCAGUGGGGAAUAUUGGACAAUGGGGGCAACCCUGAUCCAGCCAUGCCGCGUGAGUGAUGAAGGCCUUCGGGUUGUAAAGCUCUUUUUGGCGGGGACGAUGAUGACGGUACCCGCAGAAUAAGCCCCGGCUAACUUCGUGCCAGCCGCCGCGGUAACAC